rnacentral:rRNA from 1 species
UACGAGGGGGCGAGCGUUGUUCGGAAUUAUUGGGCGUAAAGGGCGCGUAGGCGGUUGGAUAAGUUCUUGUGUGAAAUCUUCGGGCUCCAACUCGAAGUCUGCACGAAGAAGCUAUCUGGCUUGAGUGUGGGAGAGGUGAGUGGAAUUCCUGGUGUAGCGGUGAAAUGCGUAGAUAUCAGGAGGAACGACCGGCUGGUGUAGACGGCUUUCUCGGACCGGUAACUGACGCUGAGACACGAAAGCGUGGGUAGCAAACAGG